rnacentral:sRNA from 1 species
UCUUGAGAUGUAGUAGUUGCUGCAGGUA